CCGUAGUGGCGAACGGUCGCGUAACACGUGAACAACCUGCCCUCGUGUGGGGGAUAGCCGGGCUAACGCCCGGGUAAUACCGCAUACGUUCCCUUGGAGGAGUCUCUGGGGGAGGAAAGCUCCGGCGCACGGGGAGGGGUUCGCGGCCUAUCAGCUAGUUGGCGGGGUAAUGGCCCACCAAGGCGACGACGGGUAGCUGGUCUGAGAGGAUGGCCAGCCACAUUGGGACUGAGAGACGGCCCAG
rnacentral:rRNA from 1 species